ACCCGUGGAGGAGCAGGUGGCAUUACCUGGGUGGCGGGCGGAGAAGCCACGGCGAGCCGGCGCUCCCGCGGGGCGUUUGGGAGGGAGCGAGAUGGACGACCCGGCGCAGACUCGCGGGCCCGGCGCAGACUCGCAGCGGCCGGGCCUGGACCUGCCGCCGGAGCCGCCUGACCGGUGGAUAAAGUGGAGGAAAGCGAAUUCCUGGACAGCAGGAUUGUAAAUACACGCAGCCCUGAGAAGCAGCUUGGCAACUUUGGUUAAAAUGUGUCACGACCGCAGAGUUCCUAUAGGAACAGCAGCUGUUGUGUGACUGUGAUGGGAAAAGCCACAGGACAGACAGUGAAGCAAGAAGACGGGCAUCCAGGGACAAGACAUUCCUGAGCAGUGGUGCAGCCUCGAUGAUUUACCAUGGGGCCCCUUAGCCAGUGGCCUGUUAGCGCCUUUCUUUGUAACCCACGGGGUUAGCGUUUUCUGUUGCAGUGAAUCCCGUCCUAACUAGCAAAGAUGGACUCGCACCUGUAAUAUGCCGUACAUUUUUUAAAAAGAUCUAUUUAUUUAUGUGUACAAGAAGUGGGGUACAGGCCAAGG